ACAGGUGCUGCAUGGCUGUCGUCAGCUCGUGUCGUGAGAUGUUGGGUUAAGUCCCGCAACGAGCGCAACCCUUGCCUUUAGUUGCCAGCAGUUCGGCUGGGCACUCUAAAGGGACGUGCCGGUGUUAAACCGGAGGAAGGUGGGGGAUGACGUCAAGUCCUCAUGGCCUUUAUGACCAGGGCUACACACGUACUACAAUGGCCGAUACAAAGGGCAGCGACACUGCGAGGUGAAGCCAAUCCCGUAAAAUCGGUCUCAGUCCGGAUUGGAGUCUGCAACUCGACUCCAUGAAGUUGGAAUCGCUAGUAAUCGUGGAUCAGCAUGCCACGGUGAAUACGUUCCCGGGCCUC
rnacentral:rRNA from 1 species